UGGGGAAUUGUUCACAAUGGGCGCAAGCCUGAUGACGCAACGCCGCGUGGGGGAUGAAGGUCUUCGGAUCGUAAACCCCUGUCGAAUGGGACGAAAGACUCGCGAGUGAAUACUUCGCGAGAGUGACGGUACCGUUAAAGGAAGCCACGGCUAGCUCUGUGCCAGCAGCCGCGGUAAUACAGAGGUGGCAAGCGUUGUUCGGAAUUACUGGGCGUAAAGGGCGCGUAGGCGGCCCUCUAAGUCAGACGUGAAAUCCCCCGGCUUAACCUGGGAACUGCGUCUGAUACUGGAGGGCUUGAGUAUGGGAGAGGGAUGUAGAAUUCCAGGUGUAGCGGUGAAAUGCGUAGAUAUCUGGAGGAAUACCGGUGGCGAAGGCGGCAUCCUGGACCAUUACUGACGCUGAGGCGCGAAAGCUAGGGGAGCAAACGGGAUUAGAUACCCUUGUAGUCCCUGAGCGGGCUGGCAAGGCGCAU
rnacentral:rRNA from 1 species